AUUGAACGCUGGCGGCAGGCCUAACACAUGCAAGUCGAGCGAGCGGCGGACGGGUGAGUAAUGUCUGGGAAACUGCCUGAUGGAGGGGGAUAACUACUGGAAACGGUAGCUAAUACCGCAUACCAUCAGAUGUGCCCAGAUGGGAUUAGCUAGUAGGUGGGGUAACGGCUCACCUAGGCGACGAUCCCUAGCUGGUCUGAGAGGAUGACCAGCAACACGGGAACGGAGCCAGGGUCCAGACUCCUACGGGAGGAAGCAGUGGGGAAUAUUGCACAAGGGGCGAAGGCCUGAUGCAGCCAUGCCGGGUGUGUGAAGAAGGCCUUCGGGUUGUAAAGCACUUUAAGCGGGGAGGCGUUACCCGCAGAAGAAGCACCGGCUAACUCCGUGUCAGCAGCCGCGUAAUUC
rnacentral:rRNA from 1 species